rnacentral:misc_RNA from 1 species
ACAACCAAUCAUUCAAGAUGG